AACGACGCAGAACCCGAGAUUUCUUCUAUCCUUUCUUCUUCCUCUGAAAAUCAUACCGUUCUUGUUUCUAUCGUCAUCAUCUCUGGUUAAUUUCAUUUCAUCUCCUUGUUACUCCAGUCACUGUGAUUCAUUUCUAAAUUUUCUUUGUAAUCAAGAAAUGAAAGAAGAUGAUAUCACCAUUCCCAUCAAUAAUACCAAAAUCAGAUCAUUAACUAGUCCUUCUGCUUCUUCAUCUUCUUGUACCAGAAGACGUCCUUGGAGAUACAGCCAAACAGGACUCGCUGUAAUAGCUGUAUUAUCACUCGUGUUCUCUACAACCGCUUGGUUAUCUCUUGUUUUCUCAGAAACAACUUCACGUUGUUGGCAUCGAUUUAAAGAUUGGGAACGAAAUCCGUACAAAUCAUUUCCAUGGCACCAUCAUAAACCACCACCACCGCCGCCGCCGCCGUUGAUUUCUUCUUCCACAUUCAUCAAUCACACUAAUCAGAUACAAGAAGAAGGAGAUAAAGAAGAAUUGUCGCUGAAACACAUUGUAUUUGGAAUUGCUGGUUCAUCUCAGCUUUGGAAUAAACGGAAAGAAUUUGUUAAAUUGUGGUGGCGGCCUAAUGACAUGCGCGGUCAUGUCUGGUUAGACGAGAAACUAGUACGCAAGAAGAAUGGUGGUUCCGAUGAUGAUGAUCGGUUGUUGUUGCCGGAGAUUAUGGUAUCUGAAGACAUUUCUAGGUUUCGUUAUACGAAUCCAAUCGGACAUCCAUCUGGUUUGAGAAUCUCGAGAAUCGUUGGGGAGUGUUUCAGGCUUGGAUUACCUAAUGUAAGAUGGUUUGUAAUGGGAGAUGAUGAUACAAUAUUUAAUCCUGAUAAUCUUGUUUCUGUUUUAAGCAAAUAUGAUUGGAAUGAAUUGGUUUAUAUUGGUAGUAAUUCUGAGAGUCAUUCUGCUAAUACUUAUUUUAGUCAUUCUAUGGCUUUUGGGGGUGCUGGUAUUGCUAUUAGCUACCCACUUGCUCACUCCCUUUCAAAGAUUCAAGAUGAUUGUCUCGAACGGUAUCCGAAGCUAUACGGCAGCGAUGAUCGUCUCCAUGCUUGUGUCUCCGAACUCGGUGUUCCUCUAACUAGAGAACAUGGAUUCCACCAGUGGGAUAUUAGGGGGAAUGCUCAUGGACUUUUAUCAGCACAUCCAAUUGCUCCAUUUGUGUCAAUUCACCAUGUUGAGGCUGUUGAUCCGUUUUUUCCUGGUUUGAGUUCUUUAGAUGGUUUGAGACUUUUCACUAAAUCUAUGAAAGCUGAUCCUCCGAGCUUUUUACAACGUUCUAUCUGCUAUGACCAUAAGAGGCGGUUAACGUUUUCUGUCUCGCUGGGUUAUGUUGUUCAAGUGUUUCCUAACAUUGUGCUUCCUCGAGAACUAGAGCGGUCUGAGCAGACGUAUUCGGCUUGGAAUAGACUUAGGCACAGGAGUGAGUUUGAUUUCGACACAAGAGAAUCUCAUAAAACGGCGUGUAAGAGAAGAGCUCUCUUCUUUCUGAAGGAUGUAACGAAACACGGAAAUGUUACUGUGGGUUCAUAUGGGCGGGCCAAAGAGAGAGACGGUCUCAAAAGGAAAAUAUAUUGUUUCCCAAGACAGCUUCCGUUGCGCCAUGUGCAAAAUAUUAGGGUGGUGGGUUAUCCACUGAGCAAGAACUGGCAUCUGGUGCCGCGUCGGCUGUGCUGCAGAGUAAAUCAAACAAAUGAUGAUCAUCUUAGAUUAUUAGUUGGACAGUGUCGUAAGGGAGGUCUUGGUUCUUUUGUUGAUUCAGUGUGAGUGGUGAUCCAGGGAGGCUCCUUUGCACCAUCGUUCUCUGGCAGGGAUUUCCUUGUGUAGAUGAACCUUUUCUAUCAAGUGUGGCGAUAGUGCAUGUUCAGCUGAACUUGAGCUUCAUAUUUUUGUUGAGGACAUAUCAACGGUCAUCCAAUGGUAAAAUGAACCGUAAGAUUGUGCAUAUUUGAAGUAGCUUCAAUGUACACAAGUGAGUUGCACAUGCAGACAACUGACCCUCAAGCUUGGGAAUUAUAGUCUUUGCCUUCACACUUUUCUUCAGAAGGCGUUAAUUGUAUGCUAUUAAAUGUUAGCUCUGUGCAAGGAACAGCUUGACUGCAGUUUAGAACCACUGCCGCUUGCGUAGCUGAUGUUCCUGUGAAGUGCUCGUACGUCACAUUCUUAAUUUGAACAGCGGUUUUCUGUAGAAGGGAGAAUCAGAUAAGAACGAUAAGAUGUUUUUUAUUGUACUACAUUCUGAAGUGGUUAUUUGCGCCUAAUAGGUGAAAUUGACAACUUUCAAUAGACAGGAAGAGACUUUUCAUUACCUGAGGUGGGCAGGCACCUCUCACUGC